rnacentral:rRNA from 1 species
UCAGAUUGCAGGCUGCAACCCGCCUGCAUGAAGUCGGAAUUGCUAGUAAUCGCGGAUCAGCAUGCCGCGGUGAGUACGUUCCCGGGCCUUGUACACACCGCCCGUCACACCAUGGGAGCCGGUAAUACCCGAAGUCAGUAGUCCAACCACGUGAGGACGNUGCCGAAGGUAGGAUUGGCGACUGGGGUGAAGUCGUAACAAGGUAAC